GUCCACACCGUAAACGUUGGGCGCUAGGUGUGGGGCUCAUUCCACGAGUUCCGUGCCGCAGCUAACGCAUUAAGCGCCCCGCCUGGGGAGUACGGCCGCAAGGCUAAAACUCAAAGGAAUUGACGGGGGCCCGCACAAGCGGCGGAGCAUGCGGAUUAAUUCGAUGCAACGCGAAGAACCUUACCUGGGUUUGACAUAUGCCGGAAAGCCGUAGAGAUACGGCCUCUUUUAGUCGGUAUACAGGUGGUGCAUGGCUGUCGU
rnacentral:rRNA from 1 species